rnacentral:lncRNA from 1 species
GAAUAUUUCAACGAUUACUCUUGACAAUAACUGUUAAUUCGUUAAUGAUUCGACUCGAGUUUUGUACAUGUUAUGAGUUUCGUCACAUGUCUCGAACAUGGCGGUUGUUCGCAGCAAACCCUUAGAAUACUUCAACGAUUACUCUUGACAAUAACUGUUAUUUCGUUAAUGAUUCGACCCGAGUUUCGUACAUGUUACGAGUUUCGUCACAUGUCUCGAACAUGGCGGUUGUUCGUAGCAAACCUAAUGGGCUGGGGCCCCGGGGCCCCACCGACAUUAUCCUAGUACGGCAGGACCAUGGUAGGGAAUGUCCGGCAGGUAGGCCGAGAUAUAAGCUACCCGGGCGGGGUGCACUGGCCAGACACUGAAGUAUCACGAAUACUAGGUGUUCGGAGUUCAAGUCUCCGCUGCCGCCAUAUAGAUUGUUUUUGUAUACGCGUCUAUGCAGACUAGUGCUUGCCUCGGCGAGGACUGUCAACUCAACGCUUCCGGGUAACAGGCUGUUGGGAGUUAGAGAUUGAUCAACGUCAUGACCAACCUAACAGCUGUGAGCACACAGCACGCACCUGCAGGCUUUGUGACUGCAGGGCGGUUCAAGGCGAAAUGCAUGCCUUUGUGAAAUGCCCGGUGUACACUAGUACACGGGCUAAGUACGAACAUGACCUCGCGUUUCAAGGGUUCAACGUGCACACGAUUUCACUGAGGCCCCACCCCUGGCACUAGCCAGGUUCCCCUCGGAAGUCUGGGAGACCCGGCACGUUGCUCUAUGGCGCUUCAUAUGCUCAAGUGGACGAGGGAGGACAAUGAUGGUCCACCAUGUAACUGCACUUCAAACGAUUUACCGUCCAUGGGCACGCCAGCUUUUAUGGACAACCCCGCACUUGUAUGGAACUUGUAACACACUCAAACACAUACAAAGACAGACACACAGACACACCCACCCACCCAUUUCAGUCAAACACACACACACACACAGACAGACAGACACACGGACAGACAAACAGAGACAGACAAAAGGAGAGACACANNNNNNNNNNNNNNNNNNNNNNNNNNNNNNNNNNNNNNNNNNNNNNNNNNUCUCCGAGCUUAAGUUUUCCCAAAGCUCUCAGCCCAGUGCAGAGAGACUGUACGUCCUGUACUUGAUCAAGUACUGCACAUACAGUCUCUCUGCACUGGGCUGUGAGCUUUGGAAAAUAUAAAAGAUACCCGUGGGAGCAUUUNUUAGUCAUGAAGCUUCAGACUUAAGUCAGACUCUUCAUCUAUCUUCAUCUAGCUAUCCAUGCCUACGUACCUAAUCUAUCGAGAUAGACAGACAAACAGACAGAUGGGUAGUUGUAUACAAACAGACAGACAGACAGGCAGACACAAGCAGGUGAUGUUGGGGUAACAAAAACACACAGACAACCACACAAUCACAGCACUGUUGGGGCACAUGGUGGAGUUGGGGUAACAUGAAAACAUGCACACACACAGACAGAGAGAGAGAGACACACACACACACACACACACAGAGAGAGAGAGACACACACACACACACACAGACACACACACACACACAGAGAGACACACACACACAUAGACACACACACACACACAGAGAGAGACACAUACACGCACACAAGCACACAGAGAGAGAGAGACACACACACAUAGAUACACACACAGAGUCUCACACACACACAGAGUCUCACACACACAGUCACACACACAUACACGCACACAGUCACACACACACAGUCUCACACAUACAUGUACACACACAUUGUAGCAAGCUACAUUUCCCAUAGAAUAUUUCAACGAUUACUCUUGACAAUAACUGUUAAUUCGUUAAUGAUUCGACUCGAGUUUUGUACAUGUUAUGAGUUUCGUCACAUGUCUCGAACAUGGCGGUUGUUCGCAGCAAACCCUUAGAAUACUUCAACGAUUACUCUUGACAAUAACUGUUAUUUCGUUAACGAUUCGACCCGAGUUUCGUACAUGUUACGAGUUUCGUCACAUGUCUCGAAUAUGGCGGUUGUUCGUAGCAAACCUAAUGGGCUGGGGCCCCGGGGCCCCACCGACAUUAUCCUAGUACUGCAGGACCAUGGUAGGGAAUGUCCGGCAGGUAGGCCGAGAUAUAAGCUACCCGGGCGGGGUGCACUGGCCAGACACUGAAGUAUCACGAAUACUAGGUGUUCGGAGUUCAAGUCUCCGCUGCCGCCAUAUAGAUUGUUUUUGUAUACGCGUCUAUGCAGACUAGUGCUUGCCUCGGCGAGGACUGUCAACUCAACGCUUCCGGGUAACAGGCUGUUGGGAGUUAGAGAUUGAUCAACGUCAUGACCAACCUAACAGCUGUGAGCACACAGCACGCACCUGCAGGCUUUGUGACUGCAGGGCGGUUCAAGGCGAAAUGCAUGCCUUUGUGAAAUGCCUGGCGUACACUAGUACACGGGCCAAGUACGAACAUGACCUCGCGUUUCAAGGGUACAACGUGCGCACGAUUUGACUGAGGCCCCACCCCUGGCACUAGCCAGGUUCCCCUCGGAAGUCUGGGAGACCCGGCACGUUGCUCUAUGGCGCUUCAUAUGCUCAAGUGGACGAGGGAGGACAAUGAUGGUCCACCAUGUAACUGCACUUCAAACGAUUUACCGUCCAUGGGCACGCCAGCUUUUAUGUACAACCCCGCACUUGUAUGGAACUUGUAACACUACAGACAGACAGAGACAGACCGACAGACAGAGACAGGCAGACAGACAGACAGACAGACAGACAGACAGACGUCCUUGGUGGAGUCCCAUGGUGGAGUACUCCUCAGGCUACAUCAACGCUUGUGGCACCAGCUCGAUUUCUUCUCUCUCUCUGUCUCUUCUCUCUCUUCUCUCUUUCUGUCUGUGUGUGUAAACACUCAUGUGGUACACACACACGCCCCCCAUGUACACACAAGCAGGCGAUGUUGGGGUAACAAUAAAACACACAACCACCCACACACAACCUCACACGCACACACAUGACUGUUGGGGUACAUGGUAGUGUUGGGGUAACAUGAAACACACGCAAUCACAGUCCUGAUGGGGCACAUGAUGGGGUUGGGGUAACAUGAAAACAUGCACACACACGGCCACAGAACUAUUCGGGUAUAUGUUGGUGUUGGGGUAACAUAAGACACAGAGACACACAGACAGACAGAGACAGAGAGACACAAACUCACACACACAGAGUCACACAGAGUCACACAGAGUCACACACAGUCACACACAGAGGCACAGAGACACACAUACAUAAACAGAGACACACACAGUCAAACGCACACAAAGACAGACACACACAGUCAAACACACACUAAGACAGAGACACAUACAUACACACAAAGACAGAGACACACACACACACACACACAUACACACAUACACACAUACACACAGACAUACUCACACACAUAAACCUGCCUGUCAUGCAUUAUUCUUCUACAUCAUAUCCUGUCAGCCAAACAUC